UACGUAGGGUGCGAGCGUUACUCGGAAUUACUGGGCGUAAAGGGUGCGCAGGCGGUUUUGCAAGUCAGGCGUGAAAUCCCCGGGCUUAACCUGGGAACUGCAUUGGUGACUGCAUCGCUCGAGUAUGGCAGAGGGGGGUAGAAUUCCACGUGUAGCAGUGAAAUGCGUAGAGAUGUGGAGGAAUACCGAUGGCGAAGGCAGCCCCCUGGGUCAAUACUGACGCUCAUGCACGAAAGCGUGGGGAGCAAACAGG
rnacentral:rRNA from 1 species